rnacentral:rRNA from 1 species
GACGAACGCUGGCGGCGUGCUUAACACAUGCAAGUCGAACGGAAAGGCCCUGCUUUUGUGGGGUGCUCGAGUGGCGAACGGGUGAGUAACACGUGAGUAACCUGCCCUUGACUUUGGGAUAACUUCAGGAAGCUGGGGCUAAUACCGGAUAGGAGCUCCUGCUGCAUGGUGGGGGUUGGAAAGUUUCGGCGGUUGGGGAUGGACUCGCGGCUUAUCAGCUUGUUGGUGGGGUAGUGGCUUACCAAGGCUUUGACGGGUAGCCGGCCUGAGAGGGUGACCGGCCACAUUGGGACUGAGAGACGGCCCAGACUCCUACGGGAGGCAGCAGUGGGGAAUAUUGCACAAUGGGCGGAAGCCUGAUGCAGCAACGCCGCGUGCGGGAUGACGGCCUUCGGGUUGUAAACCGCUUUCGCCUGUGACGAAGCGUGAGUGACGGUAAUGGGUAAAGAAGCACCGGCUAACUACGUG